rnacentral:rRNA from 1 species
GGGGAAUAUUGCGCAAUGGGCGAAAGCCUGAUGCAGCGACGCCGCGUGAGGGAUGACGGCCUUCGGGUUGUAAACCUCUUUCAGCAGGGAAGAAGCGCAAGUGACGGUACCUGCAGAAGAAGCGCCGGCUAACUACGUGCCAGCAGCCGCGGUAAUACGUAGGGCGCAAGCGUUGUCCGGAAUUAUUGGGCGUAAAGAGCUCGUAGGCGGUCUGUCGCGUCUGGUGUGAAAUCCCGAGGCUCAACCUCGGGCUUGCAUCGGGUACGGGCAGACUAGAGUGCGGUAGGGGAGACUGGAAUUCCUGGUGUAGCGGUGGAAUGCGCAGAUAUCAGGAGGAACACCGAUGGCGAAGGCAGGUCUCUGGGCCGCAACUGACGCUGAGGAGCGAAAGCAUGGGGAGCGAACA